GGCCGCUCGGGGAGGCGCCGCCCGCGUGGCCGCCCUCGGCCCCCGCCGCGCACUGGCUCGAGCGCCCUCCCUCCGCCGCAGGAAGCUCCACAGCGGCGCCGCGGCGCUUCCAGUUGUGUCUAGCACCAAGUAUGGAACUCGGGUGUAUUUAUGUGGCUCAGCGUGCGCUUACCCUGCGUGAAGCUCGUGAGUUUCAUCUCUAACACCUGCCUUCGAAUAUACUAUGCCCACCUUCAGUAAUGGAGAUUUAUUUAUUAUGUAUACAGUAUUCUGUUUGCAUGUUUGCCUACAUGCCAGAAGAGGGCAUCAGAUCUCAUUACAGAUGCUUGUAAGCUGCCAUGUGUUUGCUGGGAAUUGAACUCAGGACCUCUGGAAGCCAUCAAUGCUCUGAACCUCUGAGCAAUCUCUCCAGCCUAAGAAAGUUUUCUUUUCUGUAAGGGCAUUGUUCCCCAGUAGGAAGACCAUACCACAAUGGAGAGCCCUACACCCAUGAGCAUAUGAGAAGCAGAAAUUGGAAUCAGUGGGUUAUUUUUUAAAAAGGGUUAGGUGGGUAGUGGUGUAUGCCUUUAAUCCCAGUCUCAGGAGGUAAAGGCAGCUUUCUAAGAGUUCAAACCAGCCUGGUCCACAUAGCGAGUUCCAAGACAGCCAAGACUAUAUAGUGAGUCCAUGUGUUGAGAGAAAGAGAGAAAACAGAUGAGGGGUAGGAGUGGACCAGAGAGAAGCAGGGGUAAAUAUGUUGAAAAUACACUGAAUGCAUGUAUGAAGUUCUCAAAGAAAAAUCAUUGCCACCAGAUUUCACUACAUUGCUUCUGACUAUGGAAUUCAUUUUAUAGAAAGAAGAAAAGGGCUCACAUUCAUAAAGUUCAUUGAUCUUACCACAUGCUACCACCCAAAAGCUGCGAGCCUAUCACAGACUCAAUUUUUGUACCUGAUAGCAACAGUUUUCAGGCUCCAGAGUACUCUCCGUAAUGUGGUGUAUGUCCCCAAACUGGAAAUGAGUCCCCUGUUUUCCCCAUCACUAGAAUUUACAAUGCUAAACAGUGGGAAAAGAUGUAGAAAACCCAUUUGCAACUUCCUAUACUGACACUAACAAAACCUUUGCUCCCUAAUGCCAGAACUCUACCCUCUACUACCUUAGAGGGUUUAGUUUCACAGGGAAAAAGUAGUUUGUAUGGGACUGGCCUGGUACAGUCCUUGACUAUACUGUGUUUUCCAUGUCACUGACCCAACUGGGAAAGAGGAAUUAAAGGUUCAAAAUACUAGCUAAAAUGAUUAAGCUCAGGUAUGGUGACUGCUUUACAAACCAGAAUUAUAUGAAUGACUAUUCACAAUUGGAGUGAAGAGACUUAGAUCCAGAAAACAAGUGACGUUAGGUCGGGGAUGCUGGCACAUUCCUUUAACCCCAGCACUUAGAAGGAAGAACCAAGCAGAUUUCUGUGAGUUUGAAGGCAGCCUAGUCUACAUAGCAAGUUCCAGGCCAGCCAAGACUACAUAAAGACUUGUCUUAAACCAGGUGGUGGUAGCGAAGCCAGAGGCAGGUGGAUCUCUGAGUCGAGGCCAGUCUGGUCUACAGAGUGAGUUCAAGGACAGCCAGGGCUACACAGAAACCAUGUCUUAAAAAACAACAACAAAAAGACCUUGUCUUGAACAAAUAAAAUGAAAGAAAUUAUACCCAUUGCAUUUGCUAUAGAGUGUUACAAUGAUAAAUGACCACAAACUCGGUAACUGAAAAGGGAAAUUUGUUUUCUCACAGUUCUAGAGACAAGCAUCCAACAUCCAAGUGCUCAGAACACUGUUCCCUGGAGAUCUAGAGAGAUCCCACUUCUGCCUCCUUCACGGCUAGCUGUCCGUGGCUGUCACUUCAAUCUACCCUCCAUCCUUCCACAGCAUGUUCUUCCUUCUCUGUGUGUCUUGAAAGGAACACUGACUGGAUUUAGGUUCUAUACAAACUUCUCAGGAUGAUUUCAACCCAAAAUCCUACGAAAAGAUUCUAUUCAAGGCCACAUUUGUCAUUGAGGUCAGUUUACAAAAGGCACAAGAUAGGAAAUUCUUUUAGGAUCCAACAUUCAAAUGACUACAGAUACUAUUCAGUAUUUCUACAAUCUUCAAGCAGAGGUUAAAACUUAACCUUACAGAAAUCUAACAACUAAGACUAUUGAGAAUUGAGGGUCCAGACCCUUUGAGAAUAAAGGUGCAGGUUCCUUCAGCAAUCAACAGCCAUAAUCAGCUGCAGCCUGAACAGACCACAGACAACUCUAAUGAGGAAACAUGCAAUUUGGGGAAUAAGAUUUCAGGCCAUGGCAAAUACAGAGAAGAGAGAAAAGCAGCCACAGGAAGAAGAGAACAGAACUGGAGAGAACCGAGCAGGGUCCAUCACGCUGUGCAGGCAGGACCUGACUCCCACAGAACUGGAGAGAACCGAGCAGGGGCCAUCACGCUGUGCAGGCAGGACCUGACUCCCACAGAACUGGAGAGAACCGAGCAGGGGCCAUCACACUGUGCAGGCAGGACCUGACUCCCACUACGGCUCUCUCUCACCCAUUGUCCGCUAACGACUGUUGGGCCGCCGUCUCUAUCUUACAUCAUUUACAAUUUGAAAGUGUAACUUAUUUACCCGAAUAAAGAUUUCCAGUUCCGUUUUU